GACGAACGCUGGCGGCGUGCCUAAUACAUGCAAGUCGAACGAACCGCGACUAAGUGCUUGCACUAAGUCAAGGUGAGUGGCGAACGGGUGAGUAACACGUGGGUAACCUACCUCAUAGUGGGGGAUAACAGUCGGAAACGACUGCUAAUACCGCAUAGGACAUAGGAUCACAUGAUCCAGUGAGGAAAGGUGGCGCAAGCUAUCGCUAAGAGAUGGACCCGCGGUGCAUUAGCUAGUUGGUAGGGUAAAGGCCUACCAAGGCGAUGAUGCAUAGCCGACCUGAGAGGGUGAUCGGCCACAUUGGGACUGAGACACGGCCCAAACUCCUACGGGAGGCAGCAGUAGGGAAUCUUCCGCAAUGGACGCAAGUCUGACGGAGCAACGCCGCGUGAGUGAAGAGGGUCUUCGGAUCGUAAAGCUCUGUUGUUAGAGAAGAACAGCGCAUAGAGUAACUGCUAUGCGUGUGACGGUAUCUAAACAGAAAGCCACGGCUAACUACGUG
rnacentral:rRNA from 1 species